rnacentral:rRNA from 1 species
AAGAACUAACAGGAUUCCCCUAGUAACUGCGAGUGAAGCGGGAAGAGCUCAAAUUUAAAAUCUGGCGGCUUCUAGUCGUCCGAGUUGUAACCUGGAGAGGCAUUUUCCGCGUUGGACCGUGUACAAGUCUCCUGGAAUGGAGCGUCAUAGAGGGUGAGAAUCCCGUCCAUGACACGGACCGCCAAUGCUCUGUGAUAUGCCUUCGAAGAGUCGCGUUGUUUGGGAAUGCAGCGCAAAAUGGGUGGUAAAUUCCAUCUAAAGCUAAAUAUUGGCGAGAGACCGAUAGCGAACAAGUACCGUGAGGGAAAGAUGAAAAGCACUUUGGAAAGAGAGUUAAACAGUACGUGAAAUUGUUGAAAGGGAAGCGCUUGAAGUCAGUCGUGUUCCGUGGAACUCAGCCUUACCUCGGUUUGGUGUACUUUCCAUUUGAACGGGUCAACGUCAAUUUUGGCCGGUGGACAAAGACAAGGGGAAUGUAGCGUUGCUUCGGUGACGUGUUAUAGACCCUUGUUGUAUACACCGGUUAGGAUUGAGGACUGCAGCACGCCCUUGUGGCCGGGGGUUCGCCCCACGUAACGUGCUUAGGAUGUUGGCAUAAUGGCUUUAAGCGACCCGUCUUGAAACACGGACCAAGGAGUCUAACAUGCUUGCGAGUGUUCGGGUGGAAAACCCUUGCGCGUAAUGAAAGUGAAAGUUAGGAACCUUCUCGCAUGGGAGGGUGCACUGACGCCCGGCCCUGACGUUCUCUGACGGUGCUGCGGUAGAGCAAGUGCGUUGGGACCCGAAAGAUGGUGAACUAUGCCUGAAUAGGGCGAAGCCAGAGGAAACUCUGGUGGAGGCUCGUAGCGAUUCUGACGUGCAAAUCGAUCGUCAAAUUUGGGUAUAGGGGCGAAAGACUAAUCGAACCAUCUAGUAGCUGGUUCCUGCCGAAUUUCCCCUCAGGAAAAAA